rnacentral:lncRNA from 1 species
AUGUUCUCAGGUUCUCCAUGGCGUCACCGUGGUGUCCCCAAUGCCCCCACGGUGUCACCRUGGUGUCCCCCAUGUUCUCAGGUUCUCCAUGGAGUCGCCGUGGCGUCCCCAAUGCACCUGCAGUGUCACCAGGGUGUCCCCAAUGUCCCCGCGGUGUCCUCAACGCCCUCAGGUCCCUCAUGGAGUCACCAUGGCAUCCCUAAUAUUCCUGCAGUGUCCCCAAUGUUUUCAAGUCCCUUGUGCAGUCACCAUGGCGUCCCCAAUGUCCCUGCGGUGUCACCGUGGUGUCCCCAAUGCCCUCAGGUCCCUCAUGGAGUCACCGUGGUGUCCCCCAUGUUCUCAGGUCCCUUGUGGAGUCACCGUGGUGUCCCCAGUGUUCUCAGGUUCUCCAUGGAGUUGUUGUGGCGUCCCCAAUGCCCCUGCGGUGUCACCGUGGUGUCCCCCAUGUUCUCAGGUCCCCUGUGGUGUCACCAUGGUGUCCCUAAUGUCCCUGUGGUGUCCCCAAUGCCCUCAGGUCCCUCGUGGAGUCACCGUGGUGUCCCCAAUGUUCUCAGAUUCUCCAUAGAGUCGCCGUGGCGUCCCCAAUGCCCCCGCGGUGUCACCGUGGUGUCCCCAAUGCCCUCAGGUCCCUCAUGGAGUCACCACGGCAUCCCCAAUGUCCCUGCCCUGUCACCAGGGUGUCCCCAAUGUCCCCACGGUGUCCCCAAUGCCCUCAGGUCCCUCAUGGAGGCACCAUGGUGUCCCCAAUGUCCCCAUGGUGUCACCGUGGUGUCCCCCAUGUUUUCAGGUCCCCUGUGGUGUCACCAUGGUGUCCCUAAUGUCCCUGGGGUGUCCCUAGGGUGUCCCCAAUGCCCUCAGGUCCCUCAUGGCGUCACCGUGGUGUCCCCAAUGUUCUCAGGUUCUCCAUGGACUCGCUGUGGCGUCCCCAAUGCCCCCGCGGUGUCCCCGUGGUGUCCCCUGUGUUCUCAGGUCCCCUGCGGUGUCCCCGUGGUGUCCCCAAUGCCCUCAGGUCCCUCGUGGAGUCACCAUGGUGUCCCCAAUGUCCCCACGGUGUCACUGGGGUGUCCCCAAUGCCCCUGCCUCCCCCACAGCGUCACCAUGGUGCCCUUAAUGCCCCCGUGUCCCCCGUGGUGUCACCAUGGUGUCCCCACAGCAUCCSCGUGUCCCCUGCCGCCUUCCUGCGUCCCUGCCAGCGUCACCCCAGCAGUCUCGCCGCCCCUGUGUCCCUCACGGUGUCACCACGGCAUCUCCACCACCUCUGCGUCACCUGUCACGUCCUCGUGUCCACCGUGGUGUCCCCUGCGGUGUCCCCGUUGCCCUUGUAUCCCGUGGGGUGUCAUCGUGGUGGCCCCCACUGCCCCCCAGGCCCCCCACGGUGUCACCAUGGUGUCCCCGCCACCUCCGGGUCCCUCAUGGUGUCCCUGUGUUUCCCUCUGGUGUCACCUUGUCACCCGUAGCAUCACUGCGGUCCCUGUGACCCCCAUGAUGUCACCGUGUCCCUCGUGA